rnacentral:rRNA from 1 species
CCUACGGUGGGCAGCAGUGGGGAAUAUUGCGCAAUGGGCGAAAGCCUGACGCAGCGACGCCGCGUGAGGGAUGAAGGUCUUCGGAUCGUAAACCUCUGUCAGCAGGGAAGAACGGUCACUGUGGUAAUCAGCAGUGAAUUGACGGUACCUGCAAAGGAAGCACCGGCUAACUCCGUGCCAGCAGCCGCGGUAAUACGGAGGGUGCGAGCGUUAAUCGGCAUUACUGGGCGUAAAGCGCUCGUAGGCGGUAUGUCAAGUCAAGGGUGAAAUCCCCGCGCUCAACGUGGGAACUGCCUUUGAAACUGGCAAACUGGAGUGUGUGAGAGGAUAGUGGAAUUACAGGUGUAGGAGUGAAAUCAGUAGAGAUCUGGAGGAACAUCAGUGGCGAAGGCGACUAUCUGGCACAUAACUGACGCUGAGGAGCGAAAGCGUGGGUAGCAAACAGGAUUAGAUACCCCUGUAGUC